GAGUUUGAUCGUGGCUCAGAUUGAACGCUGGCGGCAUGCCUUACACAUGCAAGUCGAACGGCAGCAUGAUCUAGCUUGCUAGAUUGAUGGCGAGUGGCGAACGGGUGAGUAAUACAUCGGAACGUGCCCUGUAGUGGGGGAUAACUAGUCGAAAGAUUAGCUAAUACCGCAUACGACCUGAGGGUGAAAGUGGGGGACCGCAAGGCCUCAUGCUAUAGGAGCGGCCGAUGUCUGAUUAGCUAGUUGGUGGGGUAAAGGCCCACCAAGGCGACGAUCAGUAGCUGGUCUGAGAGGACGAUCAGCCACACUGGGACUGAGACACGGCCCAGACUCCUACGGGAGGCAGCAGUGGGGAAUUUUGGACAAUGGGCGAAAGGCCUGAUCCAGCAAUGCCGCGUGUGUGAAGAAGGCC
rnacentral:rRNA from 1 species